UACAGAGGUCUCAAGCGUUGUUCGGAUUCAUUGGGCGUAAAGGGUGCGUAGGUGGCAUGGUAAGUUGAAGGUGAAAUCUCGGAGCUCAACUCCGAAACUGCCUUCAAUACUGCUGUGCUUGAGGACUGUAGAGGAGAAUGGAAUUCACGGUGUAGCAGUGAAAUGCGUAGAUAUCGUGAGGAAGACCAGUGGCGAAGGCGAUUCUCUGGGCAGUUCCUGACACUGAGGCACGAAGGCUAGGGGAGCAA
rnacentral:rRNA from 1 species